rnacentral:rRNA from 1 species
AAUCAACGCUGGCGGCGUGCCUAACACAUGCAAGUCGAACGCGAAAGUCCCGCAAGGGAUUAGUAGAGUGGCAAACGGGUGAGUAACACGUGGGUGACCUGCCUUCGAGUGGGGGAUAACGUCCCGAAAGGGACGCUAAUACCGCAUAACAUCCUGCCUUUGAAGAGGUGGAGAUCAAAGCUGGGGACCGCAAGGCCUGGCGCUGGAAGAGGGGCCCGCGUCUGAUUAGCUAGNGGUGAGGUAACGGCUCACCAAGGCAACGAUCAGUAUCCGGCCUGAGAGGGCGGACGGACACACUGGGACUGAGACACGGCCCAGACUCCUACGGGAGGCAGCAGUGGGAAUUGUUCGCAAUGGGCGCAAGCCUGACGACGCAACGCCGCGUGGAGGAUGAAGACCUUC